rnacentral:rRNA from 1 species
UACGUAGGCAGCGAGCGUUGUUCGGAGUUACUGGGCGUAAGGAGUGUGUAGGCGGUUUGCCAAGUUCGGUGUGAAAUCUCCCGGCUUAACUGGGAGGGUGCGCCGAAAACUGGCAGGCUUGAGUGCGGGAGAGGAGAGCGGAAUUCCUGGUGUAGCGGUGAGAUGCGUAGAUAUCAGGAGGAACACCUGCGGUGUAGGCGGCUACCUGGACCGAUAUUGACGCUGAGACGCGAAAGCGUGGGGAGCAAACAGG